CCUUCGAUAGCUCAGUUGGUAGAGCGGUGGGCUGUAGAAAGGUGCAAGGUGAUCGAUGAAAACUGCAUCUGAUCUCACACCCGGCGAAACAAUAGAAAUCCAUAGGUCACUGGUUCAAAUCCGGUUCGAAGGA
rnacentral:tRNA from 1 species